GACGAACGCUGGCGGCGUGCCCAAUACAUGCAAGUAGAACGCUGAAGCUUGGUGCUUGCACCGAGCGGAUGAGUUGCGAACGGGUGAGUAACGCGUAGGUAACCUGCCUGGUAGCGGGGGAUAACUAUUGGAAACGAUAGCUAAUACCGCAUAAAAGUAGUUAUUGCAUGAUAACUGUUUGAAAGGUGCAAAUGCAUCACUACCAGAUGGACCUGCGUUGUAUUAGCUAGUUGGUGGGGUAACGGCUCACCAAGGCAACGAUACAUAGCCGACCUGAGAGGGUGAUCGGCCACACUGGGACUGAGACACGGCCCUGACUCCUACGGGAGGCAGCAGUAGGGAAUCUUCGGCAAUGGACGGAAGUCUGACCGAGCAACGCCGCGUGAGUGAAGAAGGUUUUCGGAUCGUAAAGCCUCUGUUGUAAGAGGAGAACGAGUGUGAGAGUGG
rnacentral:rRNA from 1 species